CGGACGGGUGAGUAAUGCUUGGGAACUUGCCUUUGCGAGGGGGAUAACAGUUGGAAACGACUGCUAAUACCGCAUAAUGUCUUCGGACCAAACGGGGCUUAGGCUCCGGCGCAAAGAGAGGCCCAAGUGAGAUUAGCUAGUUGGUGAGGUAAAGGCUCACCAAGGCGACGAUCUCUAGCUGUUCUGAGAGGAAGAUCAGCCACACUGGGACUGAGACACGGCCCAGACUCCUACGGGAGGCAGCAGUGGGGAAUAUUGCACAAUGGGGGAAACCCUGAUGCAGCCAUGCCGCGUGUGUGAAGAAGGCCUUCGGGUUGUAAAGCACUUUCAGUUGUGAGGAAAAGUUAGUAGUUAAUACCUGCUAGCCGUGACGUUAACAACAGAAGAAGCACCGGCUAACUCCGUGCCAGCAGCCGCGGUAAUACGGAGGGUGCGAGCGUUAAUCGGAAUUACUGGGCGUAAAGCGCACGCAGGCGGUUUGUUAAGCUAGAUGUGAAAGCCCCGGGCUCAACCUGGGAUGGUCAUUUAGAACUGGCAGACUAGAGUCUUGGAGAGGGGAGUGGAAUUCCAGGUGUAGCGGUGAAAUGCGUAGAUAUCUGGAGGAACAUCAGUGGCGAAGGCGACUCCCUGGCCAAAGACUGACGCUCAUGUGCGAAAGUGUGGGGUAGCGAACAGGAUUAGAUACCCUGGGUAGUCCACACCGUA
rnacentral:rRNA from 1 species